rnacentral:rRNA from 1 species
GGGCCCGCACAAGCGGUGGAGCAUGUGGUUUAAUUCGAUGAUACGCGAGGAACCUUACCAGGGCUUAAAUGCAGAACGACAGAUUUGGAAACAGAUCCUUCUUCGGACGGACUGCAAGGUGCUGCAUGGUUGUCGUCAGCUCGUGCCGUGAGGUGUCAGGUUAAGUCCUAUAACGAGCGCAACCCCUACUGUUAGUUGCCAGCGAGUAAUGUCGGGGACUCUAACAGAACUGCCGGCGUAAGCCGCGAGGAAGGUGGGGAUGACGUCAAAUCAUCACGGCCCUUACGUCCUGGGCUACACACGUGCUACAAUGGUGCGGACAAAGAGCAGCCACCUGGUGACAGGGAGCUAAUCUCCAAACCGCAUCUCAGUUCGGAUCGAAGUCUGCAACUCGACUUCGUGAAGCUGGAAUCGCUAGUAAUCG